UACGUAGGGUGCGAGCGUUGUCCGGAAUUAUUGGGCGUAAAGGGCUCGUAGGCGGUCUGUCACGUCGGGAGUGAAAACUCGGGGGCUUAACCCCGAAGCCUGCUUCCGAUACGGGCAGACUAGAGGUAUGCAGGGGAGAAUGGAAUUCCUGGUGUAGCGGUGAAAUGCGCAGAUAUCAGGAGGAACACCGGUGGCGAAGGCGGUUCUCUGGGCAUUACCUGACGCUGAGGAGCGAAAGUGUGGGGAGCGAACAGG
rnacentral:rRNA from 1 species